GACGAACGCUGGCGGCGUGCUUAACACAUGCAAGUCGAACGGAAAGGCCCUGCUUUUGUGGGGUGCUCGAGUGGCGAACGGGUGAGUAACACGUGAGUAACCUGCCCUUGACUUUGGGAUAACUUCAGGAAACUGGGGCUACUACCGGAUAGGAGCUCAUGCUGCAUGGUGGGGGUUGGAAAGUUUCGGCGGUUGGGGAUGGACUCGCGGCUUAUCAGCUUGUUGGUGGGGUAGUGGCUUACCAAGGCUUUGACGGGUAGCCGGCCUGAGAGGGUGACCGGCCACAUGGGGACUGAGAUACGGCCCAGACUCCUACGGGAGGCAGCAGUGGGGAAUAUUGCACAAUGGGCGGAAGCCUGAUGCAGCAACGCCGCGUGCGGGAUGACGGCCUUCGGGGUGUAAACCGCUUUCGCCUGUGACGAAGCGUGAGUGACGGUAAUGGGUAAAGAAGCACCGGCUAACUACGUG
rnacentral:rRNA from 1 species